rnacentral:misc_RNA from 1 species
AGGUGCCAGCAAUCCUAAGGUGAAGGAUUAUGGAACAAAAAAAGUAAAAGCCAAAUAUUCUUUUUUUCCCAACUAUUCUAUCCUAAUCUAGUUGGAGUACACUGAAAGAUCUAUCCUAUCCCAAUCUGACGCUACUAAAUCAUUUUUUAUCUACUUACAAAAUUAUCUGGGGGCAUGCUAAAUUUCCCCUCCAAUGCAUUUGCUGGUUUAAACGAGACAGCCAAAUCAAAUGAUCUUCUCUUAACUUCAGCAUGUGGCACUUUCACCUUCCUACAGACAAUGUGUAACUAGUCCUAUCUCAUUUUUUACACAUCCCUAUUAGCAUCCUCAUUUCUUCCAUGUUAAU